CCUACGGGUGGCAGCAGUGAGGAAUAUUGGUCAAUGGGCGUAAGCCUGAACCAGCCAAGUCGCGUGAGGGAUGAAUGUUCUAUGGAUUGUAAACCUCUUUUAUAAGGGAAUAAAGUGCGGGACGUGUCCCGUUUUGUAUGUACCUUAUGAAUAAGGAUCGGCUAACUCCGUGCCAGCAGCCGCGGUAAUACGGAGGAUCCGAGCGUUAUCCGGAUUUAUUGGGUUUAAAGGGUGCGUAGUUGGGCUUUUAAGUCAGCGGGGAAAGUCUGUGGCGCAACCGUAGAAUUGCCGUUGAAACUGGCAGGCGUGAGUAUGGUUGAGGCAGGCGGAAUGCGUGGUGUAGCGGUGAAAUGCUUAGAUAUCACGCAGAACCCCGAUUGCGAAGGCAGCCUGCCAAGCCACGACUGACGCUGAUGCACGAAAGCGUGGGUAUCAAACAGGAUUAGAUACCCUGGUAGUC
rnacentral:rRNA from 1 species